AGGAUCCGAUGUAACUGGCGACGAAGUGGGACUAACCACGAUGGAGCAUCGGAACAUACGGCCGGUCGCCUGGGCAGAGAGC
rnacentral:ncRNA from 2 species